CUGCAUAUAGCCCAAUGGUAGGGUGCUUGCUUUGGGAGCAAGAGGUUGAAGGUUCAAGCCCUUCUAUGCAGA
rnacentral:tRNA from 1 species